GUCCAUCUAGCUCAGUUGGUAGAGCGCAAGACUCUUAACCUUGUGGUCAUGACAUGAGCCCCAUGAUGGGUG